AGUGAACGCUGGCGGUAGGCCUAACACAUGCAAGUCGAACGGCAGCACAGUAAGAGCUUGCUCUUACGGGUGGCGAGUGGCGGACGGGUGAGGAAUACAUCGGAAUCUACUUUUUCGUGGGGGAUAACGUAGGGAAACUUACGCUAAUACCGCAUACGACCUACGGGCGAAAGCAGGGGAUCUUCGGACCUUGCGCGAUUGAAUGAGCCGAUGUCGGAUUAGCUAGUUGGCGGGGUAAAGGCCCACCAAGGCGACGAUCCGUAGCUGGUCUGAGAGGAUGAUCAGCCACACUGGAACUGAGACACGGUCCAGACUCCUACGGGAGGCAGCAGUGGGGAAUAUUGGACAAUGGGCGCAAGCCUGAUCCAGCCAUACCGCGUGGGUGAAGAAGGCCUUCGGGUUGUAAAGCCCUUUUGUUGGGAAAGAAAAGCAGCAGGUUAAUACCCCGCUGUUCUGACGGUACCCAAAGAAUAAGCACCGGCUAACUUCG
rnacentral:rRNA from 1 species